rnacentral:rRNA from 1 species
GAUGAACGCUGGCGGCGUGCCUAAUACAUGCAAGUCGAACGAGUUCUUCGGAACUAGUGGCGAACGGGUGAGUAACGCGUUGGUACCUGCCCCGAAGUGGGGAAUAACUGCCCGAAAGGGUGGCUAAUACCGCAUAAUACCGCAAGGUUAAAGUAGUAAUACGCUUCGGGAGGGGCCUGCGUCCCAUUAGCUAGUUGGUGAGGUAAUUGCGCACCAAGGCGACGAUGGGUAGCUGGAUCGAGAGGUUGAACAGCCACACUGGGACUGAGAUACGGCCCAGACUCCUACGGGAGGCAGCAGUAAGGAAUCUUCCACAAUGGACGAAAGUCUGAUGGAGUAACGUCGCGUGCAGGAUGACGGUCUUCGGAUUGUAAACUGCUUUUCUAUGGGAAGAUUAUGACGGUACCAUAUGAAUAAGCACCGGCUAACUACGUGCCAGCAGCCGCGGUAAAAC